rnacentral:rRNA from 1 species
AGAGUUUGAUCCUGGCUCAGGAUGAACGCUAGCGGCAGGCUUAAUACAUGCAAGUCGAGGGGCAGCGCAGUGUAGCAAUACAUGGGCGGCGACCGGCAAACGGGUGCGGAACACGUACGCAAUCUACCCAAAACUGAUGAAUAGCCCUCCGAAAGGAGGAUUAAUACAUCGUAACCUAAUGAAGUGGCAUCGCUUUAUUAGUAUAGCUCCGGCGGUUUUGGAUGAGCGUGCGCCUGAUUAGGUAGUUGGCGGGGUAACGGCCCACCAAGCCUGCGAUCAGUAACUGGUGUGAGAGCACGACCAGUCACACGGGCACUGAGACACGGGCCCGACUCCUACGGGAGGCAGCAGUAAGGAAUAUUGGUCAAUGGACGCAAGUCUGAACCAGCCAUGCCGCGUGAAGGAUGAAGGUCCUCUGGAUUGUAAACUUCUUUUAUAUGGGACGAAACCUCUUUUUCUAAGGAGACUGACGGUACCAUAGGAAUAAGCACCGGCUAACUCCGUGCCAGCAGCCGCGGUAAUACGGAGGGUGCAAGCGUUAUCCGGAUUCACUGGGUUUAAAGGGUGCGUAGGAGGGCAGGUAAGUCAGUGGUGAAAUCUUCGAGCUUAACUCGGAAACUGCCGUUGAUACUAUCUGUCUUGAAUACCGUGGAGAUGAGCGGAAUAUGUCAUGUAGCGGUGAAAUGCUUAGAUAUGACAUAGAACACCAAUUGCGAAGGCAGCUCGUUACACGAAUAUUGACUCUGAGGCACGAAAGCGUGGGGAUCAAACAGGAUUAGAUACCCUGGUAGUCG